CCGUUUGUGUCGUAGUGUUAGAUGAGACCCGAGGCGACAAGAAGAAGAAGAAGAGUAGGAAAUCUGAAUAAGAGAAGACCUAAUUAAAUAUAAUAAUAAAAAAAGCAUUAAGAGAGUGAUGGCUCACGGUGCUUACAACAAGCGGCGCGUGAGGCUCAAUCCCACAAGCCGUCGAUCCAACUCCAAGCCUUUGGGCAUCGCCAAGAAACCCAAGCCCUCCGUUUCACUCAAAAACCAGAUUCGAUCCAUAGAGCGCAUACUCAGAAAGAAUCUGCAACCGGAGGUGAGAGAGGCGCAAGAACAUAAGUUGGAAGCUCUGAAGAAGCAGCAAGAGAUUCACACGCGCCUUGCCGCCGAACGCAAGAUAUUCUUACGUGACCGAAAGAUUAAGUUCUUCGAGAGGAGGAAAAUAGAAAGAAGAAUCAGACGCCUCGAGAAACUGCAGCGUGCUUCUUCUUCUUCCUCCUCACAACCUCAUUCUGAUCAGCUUUCCGCUCUUAAACAAGAUCUUCAAUAUGUUAUGUACUUUCCCAAGAAUGAGAAGUAUGUUCCCUUGUUCACUGGGGGUGAUGAUUCAGAGAUAGUUGACAGGAGAAAUGGGCUGCGCAAACAGAUUGAAGCCAGGUUAAUUGCAGCUGCUGCAAGUGGCAAGGAUUUAGAAGAGACUGGCAGUGAGGAUGAUGGCCUUUUGGAUCUAAGUGAUGAUGAUUUUUUCCUUGCUGGAAGUUCUAGUGAUGAAGCAGAUGCAGAUGAUGAAUGGACAGACAAAAGCACAAGAGAGCAGGCUUCUAGUGCUUCUGGGAAAGCCGUGUCUGGCAUGUCCAGUGAUGAAAAAAAUCAGAGGCAGAUUUCCGCUAGAGCUUUGAUGCCCCCUCCUCGCCCGUCAAACAAGAUGCUGUCAAGGUUUGGGUCAUCUUCUGGCCAAAAUUCAUCUGUACAGAGAUCUGAAAUUUCCACAUCUAGCAACACAUCAAAUAGCAAAAGCAGCUCAGACUUCAAAAUACGGGGACCCUCAAGAUCAGGGACUGGUCAUGGUAGUAGUCUAAGCUCCAACUCUGAUGCUCACAAGCCUCGGAGGAAGAGAAGACCUAAGAAGAAAAAGAAGCAGGUCCAUACCUAAUGCUGCGUGGUAUAGGAGUUGAAGCAGGAUUCACGAUUCCAAGGCCCAUUUAUUUGUGCGUUUUUUCUUCUAGAACAAAAAAAUACCUUUAAUAAUGUUUAAAAAUUUUAAGAGAGCGUGUUUUGGGGAUACAAGCUAAGAUAGAAAAAAGCAGUUUAAUUGUUUUUAAUAAACUUAGCAGAUAGCUUACGAAAAAAAGAGCAAUAAGAAAAAGUGACAUCAGAAAAACACCUUUUUUAAGUUUAUCAUUGCACCUUUGAGUUACGACCAAAACUAUUGAGCUUUAGUUCUAUUAACUCAUUUCACUGCCACUGCAAGUUUCCCAGCUUCCUCUUGUCGCUCAUUAUGACAGAGUGGUCAUUGAGGCCUGGAAUUGCAGCUAAUUUGUGGCUACUGUUUCGCCAUUCCGGGGGAUGAAAACCCUGCUUUGUCAGUCUUUCUGUCAUGCCCCUUUGAUAAAAACCCACUGCCCCACCUCUGCUUUGAACUUCCAGUUGAAAAACCCUCCUUCUUGCUACACCCCAGUGAUGAUCUUGCUAUCUUUCAGUGACCCAGUAGUUUUCAGGCCAAGUCCCACUUGUCCGACUGGCUGCUUGGUGGCAUUUUUUGAUCAGGCCAAGCCUGGCAUUUUAUGGCAACCCACUGAUAGCUGAAUACUCUGUUGAUUCAUUUUAGCUAUGACAAUACUUGUUUUCAGCUUCUUAUCUGACACAGAUCUGAUUCAAACAUGCCUCUGUUUUUGUUCUUUCUUUCUUUUGUGUUGUAUGAAUCACAGUUCACAAUCACUAAUUUGUCACACGAUUGCUUUCUUCAUUUUUUUGGCUCUCUAUAUUAGUUUGUUGUUUCCCCCUUUUUUCACUUCACUCUUCUCUGUAUUCCUUUUCUCCCUUGUUCCCCUUGACUUUUGCUGUUAUUGACUUGUUAGUUAUGCUCUACAUUGCUGGCAAAUUGGGGAUUGCGUUUAAACUGUGACUCCUGUCAUGAUGGCUAAACUAAGCAUUGCUAUUAGCAAUUGGAUUUAGCUUCUUCACAUUCAUUCGAGAUUCUUACAGUUGUCUUACCUGGAUGGGUCAUGUUCUACUGCGGACCUGCUGGGAGCCUAUUUUACUGGUCAAUAUGAUGAUAUAUAUGUACUGACUUGUUAGGUUAGAUUGAGAAUUCGUUAUUGUUGGUUAACUUUUCACUGUGGAUUCUUCAUAUUUAACCGUCGCUUACUGUAAAUUAUUUUGAAUUCUGAUUUGUUUACGCGGGUUAAUAUUUUCCC